GUGGUCUUGUCUUAGAGCUAUUCCUACCUUGGAUUUUGGGGGGUUUUCUUUUUUAAGAUGGCCUUAUUCUCUUCUCCUCUUCAUAUGCCUGGUGCCAUAAGAUCUGGAGCUACCCCUCCUAGAAGGACCCUGCCUUUGGGAGCAUUCAAGGACCAGGCCAGUGCCCUGUGUAGGAGAUGCAUCAAGUGUGUAGCUGGGACCAGAUCUGCUUCAGUCCCUCAGAAGAAAGGUUCUGAGUGCUACUACUCAGAUGGCCAAGACCAUGGUGUGUGCCUUAGGGAAAGGGGACAGUGACACCCUUCCCCUGGCUCCAAACAAGGCCUACAGCUUGUGAAAGGGCUCUGCUCAAGUCCCUGCACCAAUGCAACCUGCCAAGGGAAAGCGCUCACCAUGGUUCUGUCUUGACCUGCCAGUUUGUUUCCUCUGGCCCCAUACUGGGAUCCAUUCCUGGGACAACUAGAAGUGCCAGGGAGUUAAAGCCCCAAGAGCGACCUUCAAGCCAAUAAGAGAUGGAGUUGGAAUGAAAACCUCAGCUUCCUCAUACCUCAGUGGGACAAUCCUGAGAUGUGUUCCUCAAGUCUCUCCAAGGACCUGAUGGGACUGAGUCCUGGUUGCUCAUGAGAGAAACCAGCAGGACUGGAUGUCAGUGAUUGCACCAUGCAGGAUUACAGAUUGUGCUGAGUUUAGAUUUUCUGCCUUCCUCCUCAGUUGUCAGGCUGCUAGCCAGCUCUUCUGCUCCCAUGACACCUGCAUCGAAUGCCUGCCCUUUCCUUACUACAAGACCCUUUCCAGUUCCCAGAUUAGAAUCUGCCACAGGCUAGGAAUCCCACAUCCCAGUAGUGAUUUGGCUCCAAGUGCAAAGGCACCUAGUGUCUGCCUUUUGUUCAGCAGCUUGGUGAUGGACAUAUCCAGGACUCAGAGACCCCUUUCCCUCAGCUCUCUGAGUUGGAAGCUGUCAGGUGCAGAAGGGCAACAUCUUACAUACACAGGGUUUGGGCAGGUCUGGGCAGUGCCUGGUUAAUGUUAAAUAAUGCAGAUAAAGGAAUUGUUGACAUCUGAAAGUCAAUAUGAAAAUUGUAUGCACUGCUGUGACUCAUGCAACUUCACUCCCAGCCCUGGUUCUCAUGAUUCCAGAAGUGGAAAAAAUAAGGCAACUCUUUUCCUCACAAUUCAAAAAAAUACCUAUUGAGCAACAUCAGCUUGGCCCACACAAGACAAUUUUUAUCCCUUCCGUUAGUUAACUUUGCUUUGGCCAAAGGCCAGAAAAACCUCAUUCUUUACAGGCAACCUCAGACCACCAUCCUGGAUCCACUUCAAAAACUAACUGCAGACCUGUGUCUUACUAGAGGUGAUUUGGUAGCAUUGAAGAUCAAAUCCCGAUUU
rnacentral:lncRNA from 1 species